rnacentral:rRNA from 1 species
GACCCACGCCCACAGUUGCCAGCGUACUCUCGUGGAGUAGACGGGUACACGUGUGGGGACCGCCGCCGCUAAAGCGGAGGAAGGAAUGGGCAACGGUAGGUCAGUAUGCCCCGAAUAUCCCGGGCUACACGCGAGCUACAAUGGUUGGUACAAUGGGUAUCUACCCCGAAAGGGGACGGGAAAUCUCCUAAAACCAAUCUUAGUUCGGAUUGAGGGCUGCAACUCGCCCUCAUGAAGCUGGAAUCCGUAGUAAUCGCGUUUCAACAGAACGCGGUGAAUACGUCCCUGCGUCCUU